rnacentral:rRNA from 1 species
GAUGAACGCUGGCGGCGUGCCUAAUACAUGCAAGUCGAGCGAACAGACGAGGAGCUUGCUCCUCUGACGUUAGCGGCGGACGGGUGAGUAACACGUGGAUAACCUACCUAUAAGACUGGGAUAACUUAGGGAAACCGGAGCUAAUACCGGAUAAUAUAUUGAACCGCAUGGUUCAAUAGUGAAAGACGGUUUUGCUGUCACUUAUAGAUGGAUCCGCGCCGCAUUAGGUAGUUGGUAAGGUAACGGCUUACCAAGGCAACGAUGCGUAGCCGACCUGAAGGGACGAACAGCCACACUGGGACGGAGACACGGCCCAGACUCCUACGGGGGGCAGCAGUGGGGAAUUUUCCCCAAUGGGCGAAAGCCUGAUCGAGCCACGCCGGGUGGAGGACGAAGGGCUUCGGGUUGUAAAAUUCUUUUAUUUGGGAAGAACAAAUGUGUAAGUAACUAUGCACGUCUUGACGGUACCUAAUCAGAAAGCCACGGCUAACUACGUG